rnacentral:lncRNA from 1 species
ACAUAUAAGUGACAAUGGGGUCUGACGAGUUCUCUAUGACCUCCGUCUAGUUAGGAUUCACGAUAGAAAGAUUGUAUCACACGAUAACUAUACCUAGAAGUUUAUUCUUCUAUUCUACUGGGUUGCCACUACAUGCUGCUAGACAUCACUGAUGGAUCGUGAGGACUCACUAGGAUCAUUUUCGGAUCAACGAUCCUUGUUGAGGUGAGUUGGAAUCGUUAUAGCCCAUUAAAAGGGGUUUUGAUGAUACUGUGAU